rnacentral:tRNA from 1 species
GAGGAUAUUGCUCAGCAGUAGAGCGCAUGCUUAGCAAGCAUGAGGUCUUGGAUUUAAGCCCCAGUACCUCCA